AUGUUAACAUGUGGCCUUUACAGAAUUUGGCCUUUUGAAACUAGCUUACAAAUACAAAGUUACUCUUUGCUUACCUGUCCUAACCUAUUUAAUGUUACACCAACAGACCCCCUUUCCCAUAGCUUUUACCAUGAAGAGACAGGCAAUCCUGGGGAAAAAAAUCCCA